rnacentral:tRNA from 1 species
UAGCUCAGCUGGGAGAGCAUCUGCCUUACAAGCAGGGGGUCGGGGGUUCAAGUCCCUC